rfam:Pantoea sp. AS1 8__len__122561, whole genome shotgun sequence.
CGCCGCGCCUUGCCGCGCGGCGCUUUUUUUCUACUGCAACAAGGGGUCUGCCCGUG